UACGGAGGGGGCUAGCGUUGUUCGGAAUUACUGGGCGUAAAGGGCGCGUAGGCGGAUGUUCAAGUCGGGGGUGAAAUCCCGGGGCUCAACCCCGGAACUGCCUCCGAUACUGGACGUCUGGAGGACGGAAGAGGCGAGUGGAAUGCCGAGUGUAGAGGUGAAAUUCGUAGAUAUUCGGCGGAACACCCGUGGCGAAGGCGGCUCGCUGGUCCGUUUCUGACGCUGAGGCGCGAAAGCGUGGGGAGCAAACAGG
rnacentral:rRNA from 1 species